ACUUAAGUAGUUUAUUAUAAAAUAAAAAUUUGUGGAGUUUUUGAUGCUUUAUUGCCUUAAGUU
rnacentral:tRNA from 1 species